UACAGAGGGGGGCGAGCGUUAUUCGGAAUUAUUGGGCGUAAAGGGCGCGUAGGCGGCCCGCUAAGUCGAACGUGAAAUCCCCCGAGCUCAACUCGGGAACUGCGUCCGAUACUGGCGGGCUUGAAUCCGGGAGAGGGAUGCGGAAUUCCAGGUGUAGCGGUGAAAUGCGUAGAUAUCUGGAGGAACACCGGUGGCGAAGGCGGCAUCCUGGACCAAUAUUGACGCUGAGGAGCGAAAGCCAGGGGAGCAAACGGG
rnacentral:rRNA from 1 species